CCCCCCCCCCCACCACCCCGCGGAAACCCCCCCCCCCAACGGAAUAUAAAAAAGUUGGCGCAGUAAAAAAAGCGGGGAGGGGUUUUGGUUAUAAUUUUUUAUAAAAAAUUUUUUGAAAAUUUUUUAUAUAAUAUCAACAUUCCUCAUAUUAUUUUUUUUUUUAGUAUAUGAAAUUUUACUUUGAGAAAAUUAGAGUGCUUAAAGCAGGCAUAUGCCUUGAAUACUCCAGCAUGGAAUAAUAUUAAAGAUUUUUAUCUUUUUUAUUGGUUCUAAGAUAAGAAUAAUGAUUAAUAGGGACAGUUGGGGGCAUUUGUAUUUAACAGUCAGAGGUGAAAUUCUUAGAUUUGUUAAAGACAAACUAAUGCGAAAGCAUUUGCCAAGGAUGUUUUCAUUAAUCAAGAACGAAAGUUAGGGGAUCGAAGACGAUCAGAUACCGUCGUAGUCUUAACCAGAAACUAUGCCGAGUAGAGACGGAGGUG
rnacentral:rRNA from 1 species